AGUGAACGCUGGCGGUAGGCCUAACACAUGCAAGUCGAACGGCAGCACAGUAAGAGCUUGCUCUUACGGGUGGCGAGUGGCGGACGGGUGAGGAAUACAUCGGAAUCUACCUUUUCGUGGGGGAUAACGUAGGGAAACUUACGCUAAUACCGCAUACGACCUACGGGUGAAAGCAGGGGAUCUUCGGACCUUGCGCGAUUGAAUGAGCCGAUGUCGGAUUAGCUAGUUGGCGGGGUGAAGGCCCACCAAGGCGACGAUCCGUAGCUGGUCUGAGAGGAUGAUCAGCCACACUGGAACUGAGACACGGUCCAGACUCCUACGGGAGGCAGCAGUGGGGAAUAUUGGACAAUGGGCGCAAGCCUGAUCCAGCCAUACCGCGUGGGUGAAGAAGGCCUUCGGGUUGUAAAGCCCUUUUGUUGGGAAAGAAAAGCAGCAGGUUAAUACCCCGCUGUUCUGACGGUACCCAAAGAAUAAGCACCGGCUAACUUCGUG
rnacentral:rRNA from 1 species